CAAAUCCAGAAACUUGACAUUAAUGCACAGUGGUUUUUCUAACUUCCCCAAAUGGCCACUGCAUCUCCUUUGCACCCAGGAUCAAGUCACAGCCUGUGUAGGGCUACUGCAUCAGGGGAAGAAACACAGCUGGACUUUCAACUUGUCAGAGCAAGUUCUGGCAGUUAGAGCAACGAACAGCUACCUGGUUCCACAUGCUAGCAUGAUGCCAACCACACUUCCCUGGACAGACAACCCCACCAAUGUGUCCUGGAGCUCUGCUUCCCAAGAGCCACACCCCACUAGGGAAAGAGAGAGGCAGGCUGGGAGUAUGGAUUGACCUGUCAGCACCCAUGUUCAGCGGGGAAGCAAUUACAGAAGCCAGACCUUCCACCUUCUGCAUCCCACAAUGACCCUGGGUCCAUAUUCCCAGAGGGAUAAAGAAUAGGAAAGCUAUCAGGGAAGGGGAUGGGAUACGGAGUUCUGGUGGUGGAAAUUGU